UGGGGAAUAUUGCACAAUGGGCGCAAGCCUGAUGCAGCCAUGCCGCGUGUGUGAAGAAGGCCUUCGGGUUGUAAAGCACUUUCAGCGAGGAGGAAGGUGGUGAGCUUAAUACGCUCAUCAAUUGACGUUACUCGCAGAAGAAGCACCGGCUAACUCCGUGCCAGCAGCCGCGGUAAUACGGAGGGUGCAAGCGUUAAUCGGAAUUACUGGGCGUAAAGCGCACGCAGGCGGUUUGUUAAGUCAGAUGUGAAAUCCCCGGGCUCAACCUGGGAACUGCAUUUGAAACUGGCAAGCUAGAGUCUCGUAGAGGGGGGUAGAAUUCCAGGUGUAGCGGUGAAAUGCGUAGAGAUCUGGAGGAAUACCGGUGGCGAAGGCGGCCCCCCUGGACGAAGACUGACGCUCAGGUGCGAAAGCGUGGGGCAGCAAACAGGAUUAGAUACCCUGGUAGUCCAGCGCUGUAAACGAUGUCGAUUUUGGAGGUUGUGCCCUUGAGGCGUGGCUUCCGGAGCUAACGCGUUAAAUCGACCGCCUGGGGAGUACGGCCGCAAGGUUAAAACUCAAAUGAAUUGAC
rnacentral:rRNA from 1 species